AUGAACGCUAGCUACAGGCUUAACACAUGCAAGUCGAGGGGCAGCAUGGUCUUAGCUUGCUAAGACUGAUGGCGACCGGCGCACGGGUGAGUAACACGUAUCCAACCUGCCGUCUACUCUUGGACAGCCUUCUGAAAGGAAGAUUAAUACAAGAUGGCAUCAUGAGUCCGCAUGUUCACAUGAUUAAAGAUUUAUCGGUGUACGAUGGGGAUGCGUUCCAUUAGGUAGUAGGCGGGGUAACGGCCCACCUAGCCUACGAUGGAUAGGGGUUCUGAGAGGAAGGUCCCCCACAUUGGAACUGAGACACGGUCCAAACUCCUACGGGAGGCAGCAGUGAGGAAUAUUGGUCAAUGGACGAGAGUCUGAACCAGCCAAGUAGCGUGAAGGAUGAAGGUCCUACGGAUUGUAAACUUCUUUUAUAAGGGAAUAAAACCUCCCACGUGUGGGAGCUUGUAUGUACCUUAUGAAUAAGCAUCGGCUAACUCCGUG
rnacentral:rRNA from 1 species